GGGGUAUGAAAGUGAAAUGUUUUAAAGAUGUUGUAUGGGGUUGUAAUAGACCUCAAAUCUGAGGGGGUAUUAUGUAAUUUACCAUAUAUAUAUAUAUAUGUGUGUGGGGUAUAGAAUCAAUACAGAAAAACACAUGGGGUUUCUCUCCAAUUUAUGCCUUCUACUUUUCUGAACCCUAGCUAAAAUCCAAUUCAUGUAAUAACCAACCUAUAAUUAAUCAUCAGAAGAAUAAAGAAAUUUCGAAUAAUUACCCCUAGCUGCAGGUUGAACAAAUUCCUUAAUCAUUUCCUUCCCCGCUGUCGUGAAGUGUAUAACUUCAAGGCUAGUUUGGAGUUAAUGUGUUCUUUUUUUAACUGUUUUUGCUUUGCUAUGAGAAUAAACAGUUGUGAAAAAAAAAAGCAAGCAAGUGUUU
rnacentral:lncRNA from 1 species